AUUGAACGCUGGCGGCAGGCUUAACACAUGCAAGUCGAGCGAGCGGCGGGCGGGUGAGUAAUGUCUGGGAAACUGCCUGAUGGAGGGGGAUAACUACUGGAAACGGUAGCUAAUACCGCAUACCAUCAGAUGUGCCCAGCUGGGAUUAGCUAGUAGGUGGGGUAAUGGCUCACCGAGGCGGCGAUCCCUAGCUGGUCUGAGAGGAUGACCGGCCACACUGGAACUGAGACACGGUCGAGACACUUACGGGAGGCAGCAGUGGAAAAUCUUGCACAAUGGGCGCAAGGCUGAUGCAGCCAUGCCGCGUGUGCGAAGAAGGCCUUCGGGUGGUAAAGUACUUUCAGUCGGGAGGCGUUACCGACAGAAGAAGCACCGGCUAACUCCGUGCCAGCAGCCGCGGUAAUAC
rnacentral:rRNA from 1 species